rnacentral:rRNA from 1 species
AAUAAAAUUUUGAAUUUAACUUUUUCAUUAAAAGGUGAAAAUGGUCAAAGGGACGAUAAGACCCUAUAAAGCUUAAAUCAACAGGUUUGUUUAUUAUUAAGAAUAUUGAAUAAAUUUAUGGAUUGAGCUGGGGCGGUACUUAUUUUUCUAUAAGAAAUUUAACAUUUAUAAAUGAAAAUUUAGAUCUUAAAAAAGAUUUAGAAUAAGCUACUUUAGGGAUAACAGCAUAAUUUUUUAAAAUAGAUCUUAUAGAUUAACAAGACUUAUGACCUCGAUGUUGAAUUSAGGSSCUWCSU